GACGAACGCUGGCGGCGUGGAUUAGGCAUGCAAGUCGAACGGUAUCAUCCUUUCGGGGGUGAGAGAGUGGCGAACUGGUGAGUAACACGUAGGUUAUCUACCCUCAAGACGGGGACAACCCAGGGAAACUUGGGCUAAUACCGGAUGUGAGCAACUUUUAGUUGUUUGAAAGGUGGCGUAAGCUGUCGCUUGGGGAUGAGCCUGCGUCCUAUUAGUUAGUUGGUGAGGUAACGGCUCACCUAGGCAAUGAUAGGUAGGCGGCCUUAACGGGUGGUCGCCCACACUGGGAUUGAGAUACGGCCCAGACUCCUACGGGAGGCAGCAGUCGAGAAUAGUCUACAAUGGUCGGAAGACUGAUAGUGCGACGCCGCGUGAACGAUGAAUCCCUUCGGGGUGUAAAGUUCUUUUAUAUGUGAGCAGUGCUUCUUAUAUUAACAGUAUGGGGAGAGAGAUAUUAGCAUAUGAAUAAGCAACGGCUAACUCCGUGCCAGCAGCCACGGUAAACU
rnacentral:rRNA from 1 species